rnacentral:rRNA from 1 species
UACGAAGGGGGCUAGCGUUGUUCGGAAUUACUGGGCGUAAAGCGCACGUAGGCGGAUCAUUUAGUCAGGGGUGAAAUCCCGGGGCUCAACCUCGGAACUGCCUUUGAUACUGAUGGUCUCGAGUCCGAUAGAGGUGAGUGGAAUUCCUAGUGUAGAGGUGAAAUUCGUAGAUAUUAGGAAGAACACCAGCGGCGAAGGCGGCUCACUGGAUCGGUACUGACGCUGAGGUGCGAAAGCGUGGGGAGCAAACAGG